rnacentral:rRNA from 1 species
GGGCCCGCACAAGCGGUGGAUCAUGUGGUUCAAUUCGAAGCAACGCGCAGAACCUUACCAGCUUUUGACAUGUCCGGUAUGAUUUCCAGAGAUGGAUUUCUUCAGUUCGGCUGGCCGGAACACAGGUGCUGCAUGGCUGUCGUCAGCUCGUGUCGUGAGAUGUUGGGUUAAGUCCCGCAACGAGCGCAACCCUCGUCCUUAGUUGCCAUCAUUAAGUUGGGCACUCUAGGGAGACUGCCGGUGAUAAGCCGGAGGAAGGUGGGGAUGACGUCAAGUCCUCAUGGCCCUUACAGGCUGGGCUACACACGUGAUACAAUGGCGGUGACAAUGAGCAGCUAACUCGCAAGGGUAUGCUAAUCUCAAAAAACCGUCUCAGUUCGGAUUGUGCUCUGCAACUCGAGCACAUGAAGUUGGAAUCGCUAGUAAUCGUGGAUCAGAACGCCACGGUGAAUACGUUCCCGGGCCUU